rnacentral:misc_RNA from 1 species
ACGGUCUCAUGUGGAGGCUAUUUCCUGGAACGCUUAGGCCGCAUAACCAAUCCGAUAAGGUCACACGGCGGCGGGCAUUCGUCACCAUCCNCUCCAUCGCAGUAACUAGAAGUACGGGAAUAUUAACCCGUUUCCCAUCGACUACGCAUUUCUGCCUCGCCUUAGGGGCCGACUAACCCUGCGUCGAUUAACGUUGCGCAGGAAACCUUGGUCUUUCGGCGUGCGAGUUUUUCACUCGCAUUGUCGUUACUCAUGUCAGCAUUCGCACUUCUGAUACCUCCAGCAAGCUUCUCAACUCACCUUCACAGGCUUACAGAACGCUCCUCUACCGCAUCACCAAAAGGUGAUACCCGUAGCUUCGGUGCAUGGUUUGAGCCCCGUUACAUCUUCCGCGCAGGCCGA